CUGGUUAGAGGUUCGCCGGUGACGUGAGCGCCCGAGUUGGGGGAGAGGACCAGAACCACCUGCUGGAGAAAGGGAGCUACGGGGGCCGGGCAGGGUCCAAACGCCUCACGUGGGCGGCGGCGCCACGGUCUUCGGGGUCACAGGGAAGAGAAGGGCUCUCCUCAAGCGGGUGGAAGGAGGGAGGCCUCCCGAGGGAAUGAGACUCCAGGCCACUCCCCCGCAGCAAGGCAGGAUCACCUGCGUCGCGGAGAGCAGUUAGAGGUCCCUGGAGUGGAAAAGGGCAGUGGGACCUGGUAGCUUGGGUUCCCUGCAACUUGGGGUUCGACCUCCAGGCAAUGAAGUAGGGAUGGUCCUGCAAGUCAAGAUUCCAGUAGCAAGAGUGCAUCAGAUCUCUGUAAGGAAAAUAACUAACAUUGCUCAGUUCCCUGUAGAGUUGCAGGGCGCUUUGACGUUAUCUCCCUUGGUUCUCCAUCAGGUCGUAGUGGACUAAUUUUACAGGCGAAGUUAAGUGACUUACCCAAAACCUCACAGCUAAUAAACGGCAGAGCCGGCACCCAGCUGUACUGGCUUCCAGCGCAUCCCAUUAUCUCCAUAAAUCCCCCUGAUUCAACUAAUAUUAGACGCCCCACAGGUAAGAUGCUUCAGAGUUAGAGGGGAGUUGAAGAUACCUUUGCCUUCAAAGAAGUAAGGAAUGAAACAAAGAUAAAACAGACAAUAAAAGACAAACCAUGAUAGGUGCCACGUGAAAAGUGGCAGAGUACUGCCGGGAAUCAAAGAACCGUGUAUAUCUGUCUUGGGGAUAAGGAAAGAAACGCAGCAUGAAGGAGUAGGCAUUUGGGAUUGACCUUGAAGGAGACAGGGAGAGUUUUACAGCAAGAAGGGAUAGCAUGAGAAUAUAUAUGAAGGCGAAUCAGUGAAAGUUGUGUUGGGGAAAGAGCAAAGACUCCAGGUAUGUUGAGAGGUAGAAAAGACAAAGGAGUAUGGGGCCUAAGAUACCAAAUGGAUGAAUUUAUAUUUAAUUCAGUAUUUUGAGUUUUUAUGGUUCAGAAGUUUGGGGGAAGAAAAGGAAGGUUUUUUUUUUCUUUAUGCUAGUGAUUUAUCUGUGAAGGGAAGCAGAAAUCAGAGGUGGAAAAACUGACAGAUCUACUGUAGGCCAGGUAAAAGGUAAUGAUGAGUCUGACCUAAAGGGACAGCCAGGGGAAUUUAAAGAGCAUAGUUGAGAGAUGAUGUGCAUGCAGAAUCUAUAGAAUUUGCUAACUGAUUGAUUAAUUGUGGGUAGGAAGAGAGAAAUCAAAGAAAGUGGAGGUUUUGAGUUUCUAGAUAAUUGCAAGAGAGAAAAGAGACAAUUACAAAGGAAAGGAGAAGGAGCUACUUCUUGAGAGAAGAUCAGUUUAGAUUUAGACAUUUUAAGAAUUCAAAGGGUUGUCAAGACAGCCAGACGGACAUGGACACUAAUAAGUUAGAAAUAAAGGUUUUGUAAUAUGGGAAAGAGGACUGAGCUAGAAAAUAGACUCAUAGAUAAUCAGCCUAGGAGUGAUAUUGCUGUGAGAUAAAAGAAGAAAACAAAGUCAGAAUCUUGGAAAACACCCUCUUCAGAGUCUCGCUGCUCAAAACGUGGUCAGUGGCCCAGCAGCACUGACAUGAGGACCUUAGUUGGAAACUCAGAAUCUCAGGCUCCACCCCAGACCUGCUGAACCAGCAUCUUCAACUUAACAAGAACCCGAAGAGAUUUGUGCCACAUCAAAAAGUUUGAGAAGCUCUGAUCUAGCUGGACCCUGGACACGGUGACUCUGAUUCAAUUAUGCAGAUGACCACAAGCCUCUGGGGUUGGCAGAGCCACAAGAAAGAAGGUGCCUGGAUGAAGGAGAGCUACCCACUGACCUGGACACCCAAUUAUAGGAUAGACAGUGAAGUGCAACUACAGCCCGCAAAUGAAAAUGAAUAAAAUUAAUCCAGCCCCUCAAGGCAGUCAUCUGUCUUAGAGCUAUUGGAAUCCUGGAUCAUUGUGGGAAAUGAAAAAUACUUCGAUGGAAUCAGCAGCCAUUGAUCCAAUGCCAACUCCAAGACUGGAACGUCGCAAUGAUAGUUCCAAGGCGGAAAUUUGACGUAAUUCUUUUCGACACAGUUUUACAGGUCUGGAUGCCCAUUUUAAUUCUUCUGAAAGCAUGCCUCCUUCUGGCUUCAGGACUCCAUCUCCAGCCUUAUGAUCUAAAAAUAAUCCCCAAACCAAAAAAUUAGAUAUUAUUUCCUCAAAAUUAGGUGUUUUAAUCAAAACAUCUUAACAUAAAUACAUUAUUAUCACCCAAUAUGCAUAAUGUUGUUCAACUUUUUUGUUAAAUGACUUAUUUUAGAUGAACAGAUGUGUGAAUAUGAAUAUUUUUAUUUCACUUACAGGCAUCUUGCAUGUGAAUAACUCACAACUUUAAUUCAUGGAACAAAUUGAGAAAUAGUCUUUUGGGGGUUUGGUACUCCCUGGAAACAUAAGAGUGCUUUGGGCACCUCUGGUGCCUUUCCAUGCCUGCCUUCUCUGCUGUUCUUGCUACUAGUGAAUUCUAAAUCAUGGCCAAGUGAUGCCAGCACUGGAUAAUAUUGGCUCUGCCCCAUAUCUCGAGGGAAAACUCUGGGACUUGGCAUUAUAUGUGUGGGAAUCUGGCCUUGGUUGGCACUCCCAGCAUGAUAGCAGGGUUCUGCUGUCUGAAUGUACUCUGGGGUGUGCGCCACAAUUUCUGUCAUCGAAAUGGAGAUGAGAGAAUAUGCCCUUGGUGGGGACACCCCACUGGAAUUAGAGUGAAGAGAUCAAAGCUAGAGGUUCUUAAAUCAAAGAAUGUCUAAUAGCAAAGACAAAAACUUGCUUAAGAGAAAUGCAUACAGGUACUAGACCUAAUAUGAUGAAAAAUGCUAACUUCAACAUAUUGAUGCAUGCUUAGUAUACUUUUAGUCCUGCAAAGACAAAAGUUUUUUGUUUGUUUUUUUUUGAGACGGAGUCUCGCUCUGUCGCCCAGGUUGGAGUGCAGUGGUGUGAUCUCGGCUUACUGCAAGCUCUGCCUCCUGGGUUCACACCAUUCUCCUGCCUCAGCCUCCGGAGUAGCUGGGACUACAGGCGCCCGCCACCACGCCCGGCUAAUUUUUUGUAUUUUUAGUAGAGAUGGGGUUUCACCGUGUUAGCCAGGAUGGUCUCGAUCUCCUGACCUCAGGUGAUCCGCCUGCCUUGGCCUCCCAAAGUGCUGGGAUUACAGGCAUGAGCCACCGCACCUGGCCCAGUCCUGCCAAGACAAAGUUUUAAAACACAGGUUGCACAUUGGCAGCUCUCAAGCCAAAUCUGGCCCAUAGACAUGGUUUGCUUGGCCUAUAAUGUUAGUAAUACUUGACCCAAGAUUUAAAAUUUGAAAAGUUUCAUAUAAAAAUAUAGAUUUACAGCUUUUCUAGAAAAACUAUAAGAGUUAACAGUUUCUGAAUUGCAACAGCAGCUGGAACACCGUUGCCACUGACCAUUUAGAUGACUGCUGCAGUCCCCACGGCUCACUCUGGUUCAGGUAGGGGUUCUAGUUUGUAACCCCUGGUUUAAAACAUAACUGACUCUCUAGUUUUUAAAAUUCUCUCAAAAUCAAAUAACCUGAACUAGCAAAUGAUCUAGAUCCUCGUACAUGGAACUCAUACUAAGUUGACCACAGACAGUGGCUCCCAAACUCUGCAGUACAUCAGAGUCACUGGGAAGCUUUAAAAAAUCCUGCUCCCUAGCUGGGUGCAGUGGUUUAUGCCUGUAGCCCCAGCUACUUGAGAGGCUGAGGUGGGAGGAUUGCUCAAGCCCAGGAGUUUGAGGCUGCAGUGAGCCAUGAAUGUACCACUACACUCCAGCCUGGGCAACAGAGCAAGACCCCAACUCUAAAAAAAAAUCCUGCUCCCCAGGUGACAGUAUCUGGGGGAAGGAGUAAGGCAUCUUAUUUUCAAAAGAUCAUAAGAAAAGAGGCUCAUUGCUGAGGCUCACUCCGGAGCCCACUUGGAUUCUUCACAAGAAAGUUUCCCUCUUCCAGAAUUUUAUAAUUGAGGGAACCGACUAGGGAAAGAUUAAUUUGCCCAAGGUCAAACAACUAGUAAAAGAAGUAAGGAUUCCAACCCAGAUCUUUUGACUCUAUUAUCCUUACAUAUAGUUUUAUAGUGAUUUAAAUUGAUACAAGGAUAGGUUUAAAUACAAGUAGAAUGCAGGUUCAUAUAAAACUGAUUUUAUCCUCAUGUUAGAAAACAUAUACACUGUAACAGAGGGAUGACCAUCAAGUGACCAAGAUAUUUUAGUCAAAAGAUGAAUUUUUCUGCAAUUGGAGAAUGCCAAAAAUAUUCAAAGAAAAUAUAAGUCUUGUAGGCAGUCUUCUAUCAAAACCCACUGAACCGCUGGGCACGGUGGCUCAUGCCUGUAAUUCCAGCACUUUGGGAGGCCAAGGCUGGUGGAUCACCUGAGGUCAGGAGUUUGAGACCAGCCUGGCCGACAUGGUCUCUACUAAAAAUACAAAAAAUUAGCUGGGCCUGGUGGCGGCACCUGUAAUCCCAGCUACUGAGGAGGCUGAGGCAGGAGAAUUGUUUGAACCUUGGAGGUAGAGGCUGCAGUGAGCUGAGAUAGCACCACUGCACUCCAGCCUGGGUAACAAGAGUGAAACUCCAUUCAAAAACAAAAAACAAACAAAAAAAAAACAAUGCACCAAAUACUAAGUUAUUAACUAGGAUACUGAUUAUUAAGCAUGUAAAACAUUUUAUGGAACUCAGAGUUUGAUGUAAAUUGCUAUAUUUUAUAAUUCAAACAAACCUUGUUUCAUGUCAUUAUAUUAGAGUAGCAUUAUGAGACAGGAUAUAGUGUAAGCUAUAUCCCCAAUAUAAUUGCAACUGUAUAUUUUAAAGCAUGGGGAAAAUAUGAAAAGAAUUAUGCUCAAAUGUGGGUAGGAUUAUAACUGAUUUGUUUUCUUCAUUUUCAGAUUUUUCUAUAAUGACUAUACAUUAUUUUUAUAGUCAAAAAUAGAAGUAUUUUAAAUGUUUCUAGGUAGAAUAGCAAAUUAGCUGAAAUAGUAUCUCCAACGUUAUUAUCAAGACUAGACUCCUUGGGUAAAUUGGUCAGAACAGUGUUGUUCUCAUUUUACACCUCUCCAAGAUUAACUAUGUUUUAGAUUUGUGUGUGUGUUUGGUUAAAGAGCCAGGAUGAAGAUCCAGAGUUCUUAAACCUGUAUACCACCAUACUACAUUGUCAUUUUAAAGAAAUGUCUAGUAGACUCGGUGGCAUAAACAUGGGCCAUUUACAAACUAGAUGUCUAAUAUCAGAUACCUCAAAUUUGACAGUAGACUUUUUUUCAAAGCUAAAGUGGUCUUAUGUUGACUAUUUUGUUUCUUACUUGAUACUUGUUUACUUUUUAAUUUUUGGCAAGUAAUGUUUCAAGUUAAAGUUUUAGCUAUAUAUAGCAGGCAGUAUUUCAAGUAAAUGAGUUACAUCAGUAAACACCUCUGUAUUACUAAACUGAGAAUCAGAAAAUGUAAUCUCUUUGGCAGGAUUCGUAUGUUUGUAUCACGUCUUUAUCCUCAGGCAACUUUUAUCUUGGAAUACUGAACCAGCAGUCAGAAUAUGAGGGACAUUAGACUGUGUUAUAGUUACUGUUCUGUCCUUAAGUCACUUGCCUUCUCUAAGUGUCAGUUGCCUCAUCUGAAAAUGGAGUUAGCAGACCCCAGCCUAUCCUGAGUUUGAGGGCUAAAGGGAAUUAUUCUUGAAAAUGUCUAUACAUGAUAAAUGUCACAAAUAUAACUUAGCAUUUUUUUUUUGAGACAGAGUUUCGCUCUUGUGGCCCAGGUCGGGGUGCAAUGUCGUGAUCUCAGCUCACUGCAACCUCUGCCUCCCGGGUUCAAGCGAUUCUCCUGCCUCAGCCUCCUGAGUAGCUGGGAUUACAGGCAUGCACCACCACACCUGGCUAAUUUUGUAUUUUUUAAUAGAGACGGGGUUUCACCAUGUUGGUCAGGUUGGUCUCGAACUCCUACCCUCCGGUGAUCCACCCGCCUUGGCCUCCCAAAGUGCUGGGAUUACAGGCAUGAGCCACCGCACCUAGCCAAUUCUACUUCUAUUACAUUUUCAGCAUAUAUCACUUCAUUGCUCCUCCAUAUUAUUUUUCACUGGUCUUCUUACAUCUUGUGUGCCCAUAUUUAAGUAGUUUUCUUUCCAGGUAAAAAAUACAUGUGUGCCUAAAAGAUUUUAAAGUCAACUUUUCAUAAACCAUACCUAAAUUAUCAAAGUUAUUAGAAUUAUUAGAAAGUAUUAGCUAAUUCUUUUAUAAAAUGUAGACUUUAUUAUUUUAGAAAUAUUGAUUCCUCUCUAUUCAGCUAUCUUAAAGAGGGUAUAUUUUAAUCAUCGCAAUAUAUUACCUUCAUAGUAUUUUUUACUUUUGCAAAGUAUAUUUUGUCAUGUUAUUUCAUUUAGGAAUGCACUAAAUCUACAUAUCUACAUAUGAUUAUACAAGGAAACAUCUUUGUCUCAAAAAUGGGUUCUAUUACAUUUUUUAAUUUCCAGGGGUCAUGAUAUAUAAAAAGACCUGAUUUAUCUUAAAAAUACAUACUUUUAUUCUUACCUACCAUACAUCUUUUUUUGUGAUAAUCAGAAGGCUUAAUUUACUAUAAAAUAGGAAAACAACAGCUAUGUUAGAUUAUAUAGUUAAUUUAGGGAUUAAAUGAGUUAAGGUCUACAAGCCCCUGGCACAUGGCAGACAAUCAAUAAUUGAUCAUUUCCUUUGCAUCUAUAAAUUUGUUCAUUCACUUCUCAUGUGGUUCUACCUUAGACAACGAUUUUUGUUUACAGAGACAAAUAGAAGUAUCUAAUCCUAAAUAACCCAAUCAAUUGGUAAAGGCUACACUACAAAGCUGGCAUGACUUCACCAAAUGCUAGAGAAACAGUGUUAAGAGUGACAACACUAAAAGUCUUACACUCUGAUGAUGCUAGUUGCCGCCGAAUUGCUUCCCCUACCAGUUCCUUAAGUUUCUUCUUAUGAUCCCGGCUGGUUUUCUUAUAGAAAUAAAGAUCUUUUUCCAACUGCUGGAUUUUAUCUUCAUAUGUUUUGAAAGUUUCCAUAAUGCCUUCUCCAUCUUGUUCUAUACAACAAAAAUUUGCAUUUAAAAUCAGUUUUAAAUAAAUGAUGCAAAAUUAUGUUUUUGUUUGUUUCUUUGUCUUUUUGAAACGGAGUCUUGCACUGUCGCCCAGGCUAGAGUGCAGUGGCGUGAUAUGCUCGGCUCACUGUAAGCUCCGCCACCCAGGUUCACACCAUUCUCCUGCCUCCGCCUCCCAAGUAGCUGGGACUACAGGUGCCCAGCACCACGCCCGGCUAAUUUUUUUGUAUUUUUAGUAGAGACGAGGUUUCAUCAUGUUAGCCAGGAUGGUCUCGAUCUCCUGACCUCGUGAACUGCC
rnacentral:lncRNA from 10 species